ACAAGCCAAGAGAUACAAAGGGAAAAGUGUGACUGCUCUGACAGCAAAAACAAGCUUAUAUCUCCAGAGGGGAUUAGUCCCUCUGCUUCAAAGUAACCAAAACAAAGAGAGAUGAGCCAGCUUCACUGGGAACAACACCUGUCUGUCAGACGAGGAUGGACUGGC
rnacentral:lncRNA from 1 species